AACGAACGCUGGCGGCAUGCCUAACACAUGCAAGUCGAACGAGACCUUCGGGUCUAGUGGCGCACGGGUGCGUAACGCGUGGGAACCUGCCCUUAGGUUCGGAAUAACUCCCCGAAAGGGGUGCUAAUACCGGAUAAUGUCUUCGGACCAAAGAUUUAUCGCCUUUGGAUGGGCCCGCGUUGGAUUAGCUAGUUGGUAGGGUAAAAGCCUACCAAGGCGACGAUCCAUAGCUGGUCUGAGAGGAUGAUCAGCCACACUGGGACUGAGACACGGCCCAGACUCCUACGGGAGGCAGCAGUGGGGAAUAUUGGACAAUGGGCGAAAGCCUGAUCCAGCAAUGCCGCGUGAGUGAUGAAGGCCUUAGAGUUGUAAAGCUCUCUUACCCGGGAUGAUAAUGACAGUACCGGGAGAAUAAGCUCCGGCUAACUCCGUG
rnacentral:rRNA from 1 species